CUAUAUAAGCGCUGGCGCUGUGCGGCUCCUUCCUUUUCCUUGGUCUUCAGCCUCGAUCAGGUUCAGGGUGCGAUUUUGUUGGGGUCCUUGGCGUGGCGGACACGUGUGGUGCCGUUGUUGCCGGUGAUACCACGUGGCAGGAUUUAGUGGAUUGGCUGCCAGGACCCCAACAUCUACGAUAAAGAACUGCUCAACUUCUUCGGAUCAGCAUCGGGAUUCUUCCCUCUGGCCGAGCACAAUUUUUAUGACCCCGGCUGACCUCGUAAUGGAGAUGGAGUCGUGAACUUUGGACUACUGAACUCGAGAGACUGGCGAGAAAUCGUCCAGGGAGUUUCUGCGGAGCCACGUGUCACGGAGACCUGCUAUGAUAAGUGACCACUGUUAUCCUUCACCCACGCGUCAGAAAUAAUUCGAACCCACAGUGUAGUUUAAAUUAGAUUAAUCAAAAAUGUAUUUCGGUCCAUAGUGUAAACUUUAAAAUAAUUUCGGGUUGUGUUAAACUUGUUCGUUUAAUCCAUAAAAGGAAGGAAAAAUUGUUUGUUCAUUCUAAUUUGUAUUAGGGUUGAAAUUAUGUUACCUUGUAUUAAAGUACUUUCUGCAUUA